GCCAGCGUGGUAUAGUGGUUUGAGCAUUGGACUAUGACUCUAGAGACCAGAGUUCAAAUCCUGGUCUGCCA
rnacentral:tRNA from 1 species